GGGUUGUGAGGUUAAGCGACUAAGCGUACACGGUGGAUGCCCUGGCAGUCAGAGGCGAUGAAGGACGUGCUAAUCUGCGAUAAGCGUCGGUAAGGUGAUAUGAACCGUUAUAACCGGCGAUUUCCGAAUGGGGAAACCCAGUGUGUUUCGACACACUAUCAUUAACUGAAUCCAUAGGUUAAUGAGGCGAACCGGGGGAACUGAAACAUCUAAGUACCCCGAGGAAAAGAAAUCAACCGAGAUUCCCCCAGUAGCGGCGAGCGAACGGGGAGCAGCCCAGAGCCUGAAUCAGUGUGUGUGUUAGUGGAAGCGUCUGGAAAGGCGCGCGAUACAGGGUGACAGCCCCGUACACAAAAAUGCACAUGCUGUGAGCUCGAUGAGUAGGGCGGGACACGUGGUAUCCUGUCUGAAUAUGGGGGGACCAUCCUCCAAGGCUAAAUACUCCUGACUGACCGAUAGUGAACCAGUACCGUGAGGGAAAGGCGAAAAGAACCCCGGCGAGGGGAGUGAAAAAGAACCUGAAACCGUGUACGUACAAGCAGUGGGAGCACGCUUAGGCGUGUGACUGCGUACCUUUUGUAUAAUGGGUCAGCGACUUAUAUUCUGUAGCAAGGUUAACCGAAUAGGGGAGCCGAAGGGAAACCGAGUCUUAACUGGGCGUUAAGUUGCAGGGUAUAGACCCGAAACCCGGUGAUCUAGCCAUGGGCAGGUUGAAGGUUGGGUAACACUAACUGGAGGACCGAACCGACUAAUGUUGAAAAAUUAGCGGAUGACUUGUGGCUGGGGGUGAAAGGCCAAUCAAACCGGGAGAUAGCUGGUUCUCCCCGAAAGCUAUUUAGGUAGCGCCUCGUGAAUUCAUCUCCGGGGGUAGAGCACUGUUUCGGCAAGGGGGUCAUCCCGACUUACCAACCCGAUGCAAACUGCGAAUACCGGAGAAUGUUAUCACGGGAGACACACGGCGGGUGCUAACGUCCGUCGUGAAGAGGGAAACAACCCAGACCGCCAGCUAAGGUCCCAAAGUCAUGGUUAAGUGGGAAACGAUGUGGGAAGGCCCAGACAGCCAGGAUGUUGGCUUAGAAGCAGCCAUCAUUUAAAGAAAGCGUAAUAGCUCACUGGUCGAGUCGGCCUGCGCGGAAGAUGUAACGGGGCUAAACCAUGCACCGAAGCUGCGGCAGCGACGCUUAUGCGUUGUUGGGUAGGGGAGCGUUCUGUAAGCCUGCGAAGGUGUGCUGUGAGGCAUGCUGGAGGUAUCAGAAGUGCGAAUGCUGACAUAAGUAACGAUAAAGCGGGUGAAAAGCCCGCUCGCCGGAAGACCAAGGGUUCCUGUCCAACGUUAAUCGGGGCAGGGUGAGUCGACCCCUAAGGCGAGGCCGAAAGGCGUAGUCGAUGGGAAACAGGUUAAUAUUCCUGUACUUGGUGUUACUGCGAAGGGGGGACGGAGAAGGCUAUGUUGGCCGGGCGACGGUUGUCCCGGUUUAAGCGUGUAGGCUGGUUUUCCAGGCAAAUCCGGAAAAUCAAGGCUGAGGCGUGAUGACGAGGCACUACGGUGCUGAAGCAACAAAUGCCCUGCUUCCAGGAAAAGCCUCUAAGCAUCAGGUAACAUCAAAUCGUACCCCAAACCGACACAGGUGGUCAGGUAGAGAAUACCAAGGCGCUUGAGAGAACUCGGGUGAAGGAACUAGGCAAAAUGGUGCCGUAACUUCGGGAGAAGGCACGCUGAUAUGUAGGUGAAGUCCCUUGCGGAUGGAGCUGAAAUCAGUCGAAGAUACCAGCUGGCUGCAACUGUUUAUUAAAAACACAGCACUGUGCAAACACGAAAGUGGACGUAUACGGUGUGACGCCUGCCCGGUGCCGGAAGGUUAAUUGAUGGGGUCAGCGCAAGCGAAGCUCUUGAUCGAAGCCCCGGUAAACGGCGGCCGUAACUAUAACGGUCCUAAGGUAGCGAAAUUCCUUGUCGGGUAAGUUCCGACCUGCACGAAUGGCGUAAUGAUGGCCAGGCUGUCUCCACCCGAGACUCAGUGAAAUUGAACUCGCUGUGAAGAUGCAGUGUACCCGCGGCAAGACGGAAAGACCCCGUGAACCUUUACUAUAGCUUGACACUGAACAUUGAGCCUUGAUGUGUAGGAUAGGUGGGAGGCUUUGAAGUGUGGACGCCAGUCUGCAUGGAGCCGACCUUGAAAUACCACCCUUUAAUGUUUGAUGUUCUAACGUUGACCCGUAAUCCGGGUUGCGGACAGUGUCUGGUGGGUAGUUUGACUGGGGCGGUCUCCUCCUAAAGAGUAACGGAGGAGCACGAAGGUUGGCUAAUCCUGGUCGGACAUCAGGAGGUUAGUGCAAUGGCAUAAGCCAGCUUGACUGCGAGCGUGACGGCGCGAGCAGGUGCGAAAGCAGGUCAUAGUGAUCCGGUGGUUCUGAAUGGAAGGGCCAUCGCUCAACGGAUAAAAGGUACUCCGGGGAUAACAGGCUGAUACCGCCCAAGAGUUCAUAUCGACGGCGGUGUUUGGCACCUCGAUGUCGGCUCAUCACAUCCUGGGGCUGAAGUAGGUCCCAAGGGUAUGGCUGUUCGCCAUUUAAAGUGGUACGCGAGCUGGGUUUAGAACGUCGUGAGACAGUUCGGUCCCUAUCUGCCGUGGGCGCUGGAGAACUGAGGGGGGCUGCUCCUAGUACGAGAGGACCGGAGUGGACGCAUCACUGGUGUUCGGGUUGUCAUGCCAAUGGCACUGCCCGGUAGCUAAAUGCGGAAGAGAUAAGUGCUGAAAGCAUCUAAGCACGAAACUUGCCCCGAGAUGAGUUCUCCCUGACUCCUUGAGAGUCCUGAAGGAACGUUGAAGACGACGACGUUGAUAGGCCGGGUGUGUAAGCGCAGCGAUGCGUUGAGCUAACCGGUACUAAUGAACCGUGAGGCUUAACCUUACAACGCCGAAGCUGUU
rnacentral:rRNA from 1 species